rnacentral:pre_miRNA from 1 species
CUCGCAGGGCGGGGUGGCUCAGCCCAGAUUGUGAGAGGGCGCAGGCCAGGCUGAGGGACCCCACCAGUGCACU